rnacentral:piRNA from 1 species
CACAUUCAAUACAUUUCUAACGGGCCCGUC